CCUGAAACACCCAGUAUUGAAAACAUUUUUUUGUGGAACAGCCACUCCACAUUCGACUUCUUUUUUCAUAAAUGUUAUUAGUGUUCUUAGUUAUUAUGUUCACUAUCACUAUGUAAAACUUUUGUUUUAUCCCAAUAGUUUUUUAGUUGACAUGAUCGCAAAAAAUACCAGUUGCUAAUAAUCAAACACAACACAAAAUACAUCUCAUUUUGUUUAACAGUUUUACAUAUUUUUUGUCGCCUUUUUCGUUACAUAGUUUACACGCAAAAUUAUUUGUUAAAUAAAAGUUCAAAUUAGCCUGCUUGAAGGAAUCAACUUUACCUAUCUCUGUGAUUACCAUACAGCUCUAAAAGUGAUAAAAUUGAUAAACUACCAUUUGCUCUAAUUUUUCUAAUAUAUCCGUGUGUACUUGCCAAGAUAAGACUCAUAACAGUUCCAAUAUUAUCAGAGUUCCAUGAAAGUGUCUACAAAAAAUGAACAAUGGAAUGGACUUUUAUAAAGAGACUUAAAGUUCAAACCCUAUUAAUACGUCUUAUCAGAAAUGUUCUAUUGACCACAUUAGUGAGAAAAAAUAAAAAUUUUUGAGGGCGGCAAAAUCACUCCUAGAUCUAGAUGCAAGUGAUGACACUAAGAUUAGAGAAAAAUCUAUUAUUGUUAUUUUAAUUACACACAUCUGAUAACCCGCAGGUUAAAUUUUAAAUGACUGUUGAUAAAAGUUUGUCGAGUGUAGACCUAAACAUGUUUUGGGACAUUUGCUGCUGUCGGCGAGACAAAAAAGGUAAAACAGAAGAAACUGCCAAUUCAAAUUCAGUAAAUGAAUCUCAGAAUACUCAAAUUAGUGUUAUAAGCGCGAAUGGCACUGGGGAAAAUGGUUCAAAUAGUCCCUACCGAGAGCGGACAGGAACGGAAUCCAGUGUUUCUAGUAUGCAUAGUAUAAAAUCGUUUUAUAGUGUCAAGUCAACGAUGUCGCGAGACGGAGAUUUCUACAGUAUCUGUAGUGAAGAAUCUUUUAAAAGUACUUAGUAGUUCUAUGACAUUAAAGUUUAUAUGUCUGAACCUAAAUGU